rnacentral:tRNA from 1 species
GGACCAUGGUUUAGUGGUACAGCAUCUGAAUGGCAUACAGAAGGUCCCCGGUUCAAUCCCUGGCAUCUCCA